UACAGAGGGAGCAAGCGUUGUUCGGAAUUACUGGGCGUAAAGGGCGCGUAGGCGGUUCGAUAAGUCCCGUGUGAAAUCCCUCGGCUCAACUGAGGAACUGCACGGGAAACUGACGGGCUUGAGUUCGGGAGAGGGAAGCGGAAUUCCGGGUGUAGCGGUGAAAUGCGUAGAUAUCCGGAGGAACACCGGUGGCGAAGGCGGCUUCCUGGACCGACGCUGACGCUGAGGCGCGAAAGCUAGGGGAGCAAACGGG
rnacentral:rRNA from 1 species